AUUAUACAAUUCUAUCUUCAUCAGAAAAUCACAAUGGUGUAAGUGGAACUCAAGUGUGUGCAUAAUGAAAAACUGUGUGUGUGUGUGUGUGUGUGAGAGAGAGAGAGAGAGAGAAGGCACGUACUCAAAUCUCGUUACAUAGAGAAGAGCGUUAAAGAACUUUGAAACUUACAAGAUUGCCCUGCUAAUGUCUAACCAAUUCAG
rnacentral:lncRNA from 1 species